UACGUAGGGUGCAAGCGUUGUUCGGAAUUACUGGGCGUAAAGCGCGCGUAGGCGGCUUUGCAAGUCGGGUGUGAAAGCCCUCAGCUUAACUGAGGAAGUGCGCCCGAAACUGCAGAGCUUGAAUACCGGAGAGGAUGGCGGAAUUCCCCAAGUAGAGGUGAAAUUCGUAGAUAUGGGGAGGAACACCGGUGGCGAAGGCGGCCAUCUGGACGGCUAUUGACGCUGAGACGCGAAAGCGUGGGGAGCAAACAGG
rnacentral:rRNA from 1 species